CCUGUGAUUGCAGCCCGUAGUGAAGUAAAGUUACCGUGAUUUUGAGGCCAUACUAAGGAUCCAUACGGAAACAUUUUCGCUUGUGGUUCAGUAAUUCCAGUGAAACAUCUAUUACCGUCUACACGUAAAUUGGACUCUAAUAAAACUUCAUCAUGAAAACCUUCUACCUUGUAACCAUAUGCGUGAUAUUGGUUCUGCAUAUGAUCAUUACAGAUGCUCAACGCAAUCGCCGUCCUUCCUCAAGGCAAGAAAUCCCUGGAGGGACAGGUGGCAGAGGUUCUGGAGGCCCAAGUGGAAUUCGAUUUCCGACAGAAGAGGAAGAAAGAUCUCGUGAAGGAAAUUCAAGAGGAGGAGGGCUUCAUGCUGGGAAGUGGCCUGGAGGAUUCUAUGGUGGAUCGAAGUGGUAAUACGGCAUAAAAGUAAAAAAUCAUUUCAAAGCAGUCUCGCAUUUCGUGCUCACUAGUACAGCAAACUAAUAAUAUUUCCACCACAGAAGCUUUUCGGGUAAGAUGUAUAUGAACAUUAUUUCUAUUACCGGCACAUCCAGCGGUGGUUAAUUUUACCAGAAACAAAUGAAAUUAAUAAAAUUAUAUCACACGUUUAUGUUACAACUCAUUGUUAAAAAAAAAAAAAAUAGUGAAAUGCUGUUUUCAGACCAAUCAUGUCCAGACAAUUUUCACUUGAAGCAAAAGAAUCAAUAUAAGCCCUUAUAUUUAAGAAAUUAAGGUACUUUCUCAUUAGCAGCAAUUCCACAGAAUUGUCAAAUGCCUUCUUGGUAACCACAGUUUAAUGAUGAAAAUCUUCAAAACAAAAUUUUAUAAAGGUUACAUGAGAUGGCAUUUACUAAUGGCAGAGGACACAUAAAUUUAAUUUAUAUAUAUCUACUAAGUAAGUUUAAAAUAACUACAUCAAGUAAUUUUUAAUAGCAGCCUUUAUUAAAGUCUGUCUCACUUUUGUCCUAGCAAUGACAAUCAAAAUAUCACUUGAAAUUCUCUUUUACUAUCUAUGUGAAAAGUUCCUUCUUCGUAUUCAGUGGACUGUAUAUUAUAUCUACUCAGAAAUGUCUAGUCAAUUGAAAUACAUCAUUUAAUAAAUUAGUAUUUCAUAAGA